rnacentral:rRNA from 1 species
UACAGAGGGUGCAAGCGUUGUUCGGAAUUAUUGGGCGUAAAGCGCGUGUAGGCGGCUUGGCAAGUCGGGUGUGAAAUCCCUCAGCUCAACUGAGGAAGUGCGCCCGAAACUGCUGAGCUUGAGUACCGGAGAGGGUGGCGGAAUUCCCCAAGUAGAGGUGAAAUUCGUAGAUAUGGGGAGGAACACCGGUGGCGAAGGCGGCCAUCUGGACGGAUACUGACGCUGAGACGCGAAAGCGUGGGUAGCAAACAGG